CGGGAUUGCCCCAGUAACGGCGAGUGAAGCGGCAACAGCUCAAAUUUGAAAUCUGGAGCCUUUGUUGGCUUCCGAGUUGUAAUUUGCAGAGGGAGCCUCGGAGGGCUGGUCGGUCCAAGUGCCUUGGAACAGGAUACCGCAGAGGGUGAGAGUCCCGUAUCCGGCCGACGCAGCGCUCCGUGUGAGGCCUCUUCGACGAGUCGAGUUGUUUGGGAAUGCAGCUCUAAGUGGGUGGUAAAUUCCAUCUAAAGCUAAAUACUGGCCAGAGACCGAUAGCGAACAAGUAGAGUGAUCGAAAGAUGAAAAGCACUUUGAAAAGAGAGUUAAACAGUACGUGAAAUUGUUGAAAGGGAAGCGCAUGGGGGCAGACUUGGACGCGGGGUUCAGGGUCUCCUUUGUUGGAGGCGUGUACUUCCCCGCGGACAGGCCAGCAUCGGUUCUGGGGGCCGGACAAAGGCGACGGGAACGUGGCUCUCUUCGGGGAGUGUUAUAGCCCGACGUGCAAUGCGGCCACCUGGGACCGAGGACCGCGCUUCGGCAAGGAUGCUGGCGUAAUGGCCUCAUGCGGCCCGUCUUGAAACACGGACCAAGGAGUCUAACAUCUAUGCGAGUGUUUGGGUGGCAAGCCCGGACGCGCAAUGAAAGUGAACGGAGGUGGGAGCCCUUUUCCGUGCGCGGAGGGGGUGCAGCAUCGACCGAUCCGGACGUUUUCUGAAGGAUUUGAGUAAGAGCAUAGCUGUUGGGACCCGAAAGAUGGUGAACUAUGCGUGAAUAGGGUGAAGCCAGAGGAAACUCUGGUGGAGGCUCGCAGCGGUUCUGACGUGCAAAUCGAUCGUCAAAUUUGCGUAUAGGGGCGAAAGACUAAUCGAACCAUCUAGUAGCUGGUUCCUGCCGAAGUUUCCCUCAGGAUAGCAGUAACGCGCGGCAGUUUUAUGAGGUAAAGCGAACGAUUAGGGAGCUAGGGGUUGAAACAACCUUUAUCCAUUCUCGAACUUUAAAUAUGUAAGAAGUCCUUGUUGCUUUGUUGAACGUGGACACUCGAAUGCGGCGUUACUAGUGGGCCAUUUUUGGUAAGCAGAACUGGCGAUGCGGGAUGAACCGAACGUGGGGUUAAGGUGCCGGAAUGCACGCUCAUCAGACACCACAAAAGGUGUUGGUUCAUCCAGACAGCAGGACGGUGGCCAUGGAAGUCGGAAUCCGCUAAGGAGUGUGUAACAACUCACCUGCCGAAUGAACCAGCCCUGAAAAUGGAUGGCGCUCAAGCGUGCUACCCAUACCCCACCGUCUGCGCAAGAGGGUUUGCGUAGACGAGUAGGCAGGCGUGGAGGUU
rnacentral:rRNA from 2 species